rnacentral:lncRNA from 1 species
CUCACUUCGGUCAAUUAGCAAUAAUUUUUCUGUGGACUUCCGGAAAUCUGUUUCAUGUAGCUUGGCAAGGAAAUUUUGAGUCGUGGGUACAGGACCCUUUACAUGUAAGACCUAUUGCUCAUGCAAUUUGGGAUCCUCNCUGAGGAACGUCUUUAUCAUAAUAUUUUUGCUUCUCACUUCGGUCAAUUAGCAAUAAUUUUUCUGUGGACUUCCGGGAAUCUGUUUCAUAUAGCUUGGCAAGGAAAUUUUGAGUCGUGGGUACAGGACCCUUUACAUGUAAGACCUAUUGCUCAUGCAAUUUGGGAUCCUCAUUUUGGUCAACCGGCCGUGGAAGCUUUUACUCGAGGGGGUGCUCUUGGCCCAGUGAAUAUCGCUUAUUCUGGUGUUUAUCAGUGGUGGUAUACAAUCGGUUUACGCACUAAUGAAG